rnacentral:ncRNA from 2 species
UGGCCCCGUCGCGACUGGCGAACAGGUGGGCAACCACCGGGGAGCGACCCGCCGGCACCCGCAGCCGCCCGCCUGGGCUGUGUGC